AGGCUCAUGAUGAUAAACCAAAAUUAUCUUAGCGGAUUUCAGUGAGAUUUAAUUAUCAAUGAUCUGAUUGUGUUACACACACUGAGGCCC